GACGAAGGUGGCGAGCGUUGUUCGGAAUCACUGGGCAUAAAGCGCACGUAGGCGGUGACGUAAGUCGGGUGUGAAAUCCCUCGGCCUAACCGAGGAACUGCGCCCGAUACUGCGUUGCUUGAGGACCAGAGGGGUGCAUGGAAUUUCCGGUGGAGCGGUGAAAUUCGUAGAUAUUCGCAAGAACACCAGUGGCGAAGGCGGCUCACUGGCCCGAUACUGACGCUGAUGCACGAAAGCGUGGGGAGCAAACAGG
rnacentral:rRNA from 1 species